UGGGGGAUAUUGCACAAUGGGCGAAAGCCUGAUGCAGCGACGCCGCGUGGGGGAUGAAGGCCUUCGGGUUGUAAACUUCUUUUGCUCUGAACAAGGCGCACCAUGGGGUGUGUUGAGUGUAGGGGUUGAUUAGCGCCGGCUAACUACGUGCCAGCAGCCGCGGUAAUACGACGGGCGCGAGCGUUGUCCGGAAUUAUUGGGCGUAAAGGGCUUGUAGGUGGCUGGUUGCGUCUGUCGUGAAAGCUCAUGGCUUAACUGUGGGUUUGCGGUGGGUACGGGCUGGCUUGAGUGCAGUAGGGGAGGCUGGAAUUCCUGGUGUAGCGGUGGAAUGCGCAGAUAUCAGGAGGAAUACCGGUGGCGAAGGCGGGUCUCUGGGCUGUUACUGACACUGAGGAGCGAAAGCAUGGGGAGCGAACAGG
rnacentral:rRNA from 1 species